rnacentral:rRNA from 2 species
AUGUGGUUUAAUUCGAAGCAACGCGAAGAACCUUACCAGGUCUUGACAUCCUCUGAAAACCCUAGAGAUAGGGCUUCUCCUUCGGGAGCAGAGUGACAGGUGGUGCAUGGUUGUCGUCAGCUCGUGUCGUGAGAUGUUGGGUUAAGUCCCGCAACGAGCGCAACCCUUGAUCUUAGUUGCCAUCAUUAAGUUGGGCACUCUAAGGUGACUGCCGGUGACAAACCGGAGGAAGGUGGGGAUGACGUCAAAUCAUCAUGCCCCUUAUGACCUGGGCUACACACGUGCUACAAUGGACGGUACAAAGAGCUGCAAGACCGCGAGGUGGAGCUAAUCUCAUAAAACCGUUCUCAGUUC